rnacentral:lncRNA from 1 species
GGUUUUACUUAUAUUUUUAAUUCUACAAUAAUGUAUUUAUAUUUUCAUAUGUUAAGAAAUCUAUUUUAUUAUAAAGGUAUAUUAUGAAUUUAGUUCAUUGAAUUAUGGGUUAUGUGACAUUGAAUCUCAAUUUUUUUUGUUAUAAUUCAAUUAGUGAACUUGUAAAAAUUAUUUGAAUGUGUGAUUUUUUUACUAAAAUAUUAAAAAUUCUUUCUUUAUUACUUGACGAAACAAAAAAGAAAAUUUUGAAAUUAGUAUAAUAUUUCUAUUUAGGAGUACUAAAUGUUAUAACCCAUACUUUAAAUGGAGUCACGAGUAUUCAUGCAUUUCAAACCAUAUAUUGUGGAUAAAUUGAGUAAGCAUAAAAUACAAAAAAAAUUAAAUUGUCUACAAUAUCAUCCCUUACACAUUAGUGUAAUUCAGAAUCAUUAGCCUCAAUCUUGGCAUACAUCAACUUCAAAAUGCUAAAAAAAAAUUUAGAGUUUAAAAGAUAGAACUGACACUAGUAGAUGUUAUCAUAAGUUCCGUAUAGCCAAGGGAUCCCACCACUGUUCUGGUUGGUCUUGAGCUUGUUCUUCAUUUUCUUAAUCUAACAAAUGGAAAGGGGUGAGCUGUAUGUG